CAGUGGCAGAGUGGCAGCCAAGGGACUGGCCCUGAGACGUGGCUGCUUUGUUUCCUGGCGAAGAGGUGUUCUAGUGGCUCUUGGCUUGAGAUGUGAGGCCUGCACUGAAGGAGCAGGAGUCCACCAGGAAGGGCCACUUUGAGAGUGAAGCUCACCUAGGUCAGCAGCAGAAGGAGCACGGGCCACAACCAAGGUCUGCAUAACGCAACGAUGCAUCAAAUCACGAGGAGGACGGAGUGCUGCCAUCCGUGCCACCUGGCAGUUGUGUCAGCAGAGUGGAGUUUUUCAUUACGGAUUCAGCAGAAUUCAUAGGUGCUUGAGUGACAGCCUUCCUGCUGGGAGUCGGCCAUCUUGUCCAGUUCUCGUACUCCUAAGAUGCAGGGUGAGGCCGUAAUCUUUCUCAUAUUUUAUUGUUGGAUACAUUGAAGCGAUAGAGAUUAAACAACUUUCCUAGGAACAAGCAAUGAGUCAAUGAUACA